AGAGUUUGAUCAUGGCUCAGAUUGAACGCUGGCGGCAGGCCUAACACAUGCAAGUCGAACGGUAACAGGAAGCAGCUUGCUGCUUUGCUGACGAGUGGCGGACGGGUGAGUAAUGUCUGGGAAACUGCCUGAUGGAGGGGGAUAACUACUGGAAACGGUGGCUAAUACCGCAUAACGUCGCAAGACCAAAGAGGGGGACCUUCGGGCCUCUUGCCAUCAGAUGUGCCCAGAUGGGAUUAGCUUGUUGGUGAGGUAAUGGCUCACCAAGGCGACGAUCCCUAGCUGGUCUGAGAGGAUGACCAGCCACACUGGAACUGAGACACGGUCCAGACUCCUACGGGAGGCAGCAGUGGGGAAUAUUGCACAAUGGGCGCAAGCCUGAUGCAGCCAUGCCGCGUGUAUGAAGAAGGCCUUCGGGUUGUAAAGUACUUUCAGCGGGGAGGAAGGUGUUGUGGUUAAUAACCGCAGCAAUUGACGUUACCCGCAGAAGAAGCACCGGCUAACUCCGUGCCAGCAGCCGCGGUAAUACGGAGGGUGCAAGCGUUAAUCGGAAUUACUGGGCGUAAAGCGCACGCAGGCGGUCUGUCAAGUCGGAUGUGAAAUCCCCGGGCUCAACCUGGGAACUGCAUUCGAAACUGGCAGGCUUGAGUCUUGUAGAGGGGGGUAGAAUUCCAGGUGUAGCGGUGAAAUGCGUAGAGAUCUGGAGGAAUACCGGUGGCGAAGGCGGCCCCCUGGACAAAGACUGACGCUCAGGUGCGAAAGCGUGGGGAGCAAACAGGAUUAGAUACCCUGGUAGUCCACGCCGUAAACGAUGUCUACUUGGAGGUUGUGCCCUUGAGGCGUGGCUUCCGGAGCUAACGCGUUAAGUAGACCGCCUGGGGAGUACGGCCGCAAGGUUAAAACUCAAAUGAAUUGACGGGGGCCCGCACAAGCGGUGGAGCAUGUGGUUUAAUUCGAUGCAACGCGAAGAACCUUACCUGGUCUUGACAUCCACGGAAGUUUUCAGAGAUGAGAAUGUGCCUUCGGGAACCGUGAGACAGGUGCUGCAUGGCUGUCGUCAGCUCGUGUUGUGAAAUGUUGGGUUAAGUCCCGCAACGAGCGCAACCCUUAUCCUUUGUUGCCAGCGAUUAGGUCGGGAACUCAAAGGAGACUGCCAGUGAUAAACUGGAGGAAGGUGGGGAUGACGUCAAGUCAUCAUGGCCCUUACGACCAGGGCUACACACGUGCUACAAUGGCGCAUACAAAGAGAAGCGACCUCGCGAGAGCAAGCGGACCUCAUAAAGUGCGUCGUAGUCCGGAUUGGAGUCUGCAACUCGACUCCAUGAAGUCGGAAUCGCUAGUAAUCGUGGAUCAGAAUGCCACGGUGAAUACGUUCCCGGGCCUUGUACACACCGCCCGUCACACCAUGGGAGUGGGUUGCAAAAGAAGUAGGUAGCUUAACCUUCGGGAGGGCGCUUACCACUUUGUGAUUCAUGACUGGGGUGAAGUCGUAACAAGGUAACCGUAGGGGAACCUGCGGUUGGAUCACCU
rnacentral:rRNA from 1 species